rnacentral:tRNA from 1 species
ACAUCGAGUUCAGUUGGUAGAGCAUUGGAUUAGCAAACCAAAGUCGCGGGUUCAAUUCCAACCACGGUGAA